AAAAUUUAAAUUUAAAAUACUAAAAUAGUAAAUAAACAUUUAUUGAAACUUAAAUAAUUUGGCGGUAUUUUAGUUCAUUUAGAGGAAUCUGUUUAAUAAUUGAUAUUCCACGAAUAAAUUUACUUAAUUUAUAAUUUUGUAUAUCGUUGUUAUAAAAAUAUUUUUUAAUAAAUUUAAUAUUUGAAAUUUAAUAUAGAAUUUAAAUCAGAUCAAGAUGCAGAUUAUAAUUAAGAAUAUAAUGGAUUACAAUAAAUUUAUUUAAAUGGAUUUUAAUUUGUAAAAAUUAAUUGAAAGUGGAUUUAAAUGUAAUUUUAUUUAAUUUAAUAAAAUGAUUAAAAAUUAAAAUAUGU
rnacentral:rRNA from 1 species